UGGGGAAUUUUUGACAAUGGGGGAAACCCUGAUUCAGCCAUCCCGCGUGUGCGAUGAAGGCCUUCGGGUUGUAAAGCACUUUUGGCAGGAAAGAAACGUCAUGGGUUAAUACCCCGUGAAACUGACGGUACCUGCAGAAUAAGCACCGGCUAACUACGGUCCAGCAGCCGCGGUAAUACGUAGGGUGCAAGCGUUAAUCGGAAUUACUGGGCGUAAAGCGUGCGCAGGCGGUUCGGAAAGAAAGAUGUGAAAUCCCAGAGCUCAACUUUGGAACUGCAUUUUUAACUACCGGGCUAGAGUGUGUCAGAGGGAGGUGGAAUUCCGCGUGUAGCAGUGAAAUGCGUAGAUAUGCGGAGGAACACCGAUGGCGAAGGCAGCAUCCUGGGAUAACACUGACGAUCAUGAACGAAAGCGUGGGGAGCAAACAGG
rnacentral:rRNA from 1 species